AUGAACGCUGGCGGCGUGCCUAAUACAUGCAAGUCGAGCGAACAGACGAGGAGCUUGCUCCUUUGACGUUAGCGGCGGACGGGUGAGUAACACGUGGAUAACCUACCUAUAAGACUGGGAUAACUUCGGGAAACCGGAGCUAAUACCGGAUAACAUGUUGAACCGCAUGGUUCAACAGUGAAAGACGGUCUUGCUGUCACUUAUAGAUGGAUCCGCGCCGCAUUAGCUAGUUGGUAAGGUAACGGCUUACCAAGGCAACGAUGCGUAGCCGACCUGAGAGGGUGAUCGGCCACACUGGAACUGAGACACGGUCCAGACUCCUACGGGAGGCAGCAGUAGGGAAUCUUCCGCAAUGGGCGAAAGCCUGACGGGGCAACGCCGCGUGAGUGAAGAAGGUCUUCGGAUCGUAAAACUCUGUUAUUAGGGAAGAACAAAUGUGUAAGUAACUAUGCACGUCUUGACGGUACCUAAUCAGAAAGCCACGGCUAACUACGUG
rnacentral:rRNA from 1 species